AGGGCUUUGAACUGUGCCUGCUUUAAAGAAACAGAUGCUACCUGCUGGUGUGACUUGCAGUCAUCCUGUGGUGAAAUGAUGCAGAGUAUGUCAAUGUUCUUUCUAGAUAACUCAAAAUCCCAAGAAGAAAUUGUCUGUUUUGAAUCACCACUUCAUAAGACACCCAGCAAAACAUUUUGAGGAAAACCCAGCAAUCAUUUCUGACCUAACAGGGACAUCUUUGUGGGUUCCGGUAAAAGUGUCCAGAUGGACCUUUGUGGCUUACAAUGAAUCUGAUAAGAUAUAUUUUACAUUUCCUCUUGCAAAGCAUAGAAAAAGCUACACACAUGCCUAUUGUCAGAGCACCAUGCUGGUAAGAUAAUUGGUGUAAUUUAUGUAAAUUUAAAAGGCUAACUAUUGUUCAUUUUUUAGAUUUGACUAAUAAUCUAGUAGAUUUUGAUACUGAAACUAUUCCCAUUAAAUCUAGUUGGUUGCAAAAGACUUGUUUGGAACAGGGUUUGGGUUAAAGUAUUCAUAGUUUUCUGAAACUGAUGGUGUUUUACUACCUUGCACCUUUGGUCUUACCUUAGAUUUUCACCCUUUCUGCCUUACUUUUACUGUGUUCAGGAUGAAGGAACUGAAUUCAGAGCCUCUUUAAUUCUAAAAUUCUAUUGAUAUUUUAAAUGAUAAGUCUAAGUAAGCAGA